UUUGCCCCUGAGUUCACCCAAAGUCCCCCCUUUAUCUUCCUCCUCUCACUGCACCCCGUUUCCUUUCUGCUUAAGUAAGCGAAUGUGUAAGAAGGGGUCGGUAAUUUACCCCUAUCCUACUCUGACAAUGAGACCUGGCAGCUCGCUAGCCUGCUCUAAUUCGCCACUCUAAUUCUAAUUCUAAUUUCCUGGUUUCAUCUGCCCCAGGAAUAAGGAAUGAGUUUUACCUUGAGAGUAAGACAUACAGGAAUGAUAAUCUGAGGAAAAUCGUCUUUCAGGGGACUUCUGAAGGAAGCAGUCCAAGGCGGCUUACUUUAUGGUGUGGGAGAAACACUAACGAUGUGCCCAGAGAUGUCUGCCACCCCAGGAGGAGGAGGAGGAGGAAGAAGAAGAAGGAGGA